AAUUAACGCUGGCGGCGUGCCUCAGACAUGCAAGUCGAACGAUUAAAGCUCUCUUCGGAGAGUGUAUAGAGUGGCGCACGGGUGAGUAACACGUAAGUAAUCUACCCUCGAGUGGGGAAUAACAACCGGAAACGGUUGCUAAUACCGCAUAAUGCAGCGGCACCGCAAGGUGACAGUUGUUAAAGAUUUAUCGCUUGAGGAGGAGCUUGCGGCAGAUUAGCUAGUUGGUAGGGUAACGGCUUACCAAGGCUACGAUCUGUAACCGGUCUAAGAGGACGGUCGGUCACACUGACACUGAAUAAC
rnacentral:rRNA from 1 species